CGAGGGUGCUUGCACCCUAGUGGCGAACGGGUGAGUAACACGUAGGUAACCUGCCUUUUAGCUUGGGAUACCCAGAGGAAACUUUGGCUAAUACCGGAUAACAACAACCGAGGCAUCUCGGAUGUUUGAAAGGAGCUCUUGGCUUCACUAAAAGAUGGACUGCGGCGCAUUAGCUAGUUGGUGAGAUAACAGCCCACCAAGGCGAGGAUGCGUAGCCGAACUGAGAGGUUGAUCGGCCACAUUGGAACUGAGACACGGUCCAAACUCCUACGGGAGGCAGCAGUAAGGAGUUUUCGGCAAUGGGGGAAACCCUGACCGAGCAACGCCGCGUGAGUGAUGACGGCCCUAUGGGUUGUAAAGCUCUGUUGUAAAGGACGAAUGACGGGGUUAGGAAAUGAGCUCCGUUUGACGGUACUUUACCAGAAAGCCACGGCUAACUACGUGCCAGCAGCCGCGGUAAUACGUAGGUGGCAAGCGUUAUCCGGAAUUAUUGGGCGUAAAGAGUGAGCAGGCGGCAGUUUAAGUCUGAGGUGAAAGCGUGGGGCUCAACCCCAUAUAGCCUUGGAAACUGAACAGCUAGAGUACGAGAGAGGUAAACGGAACUCCAUGUGUAGCGGUGAAAUGCGUAGAUAUAUGGAAGAACACCAGUGGCGAAGGCGGUUUACUAGCUCGAUACUGACGCUCAGUCACGAAAGCGUGGGUAGCAAAUAGGAUUAGAUACCCUAGUAGUCCACGCUGUAAACGAUGAGAACUAAAUAUUGCCGUGAGGCAGUGUUGAAGCUAACGCAUUAAGUUCUCCGCCUGGGGAGUACGCUCGCAAGAGUGAAACUUAAAGGAAUUGACGGGGACCCGCACAAGCAGUGGAGCAUGUGGUUUAAUUCGACGCUACGCGAAGAACCUUACCAGGGCUUGACAUGGAGGUAAAGGCUCUAGAGAUAGAGAGAU
rnacentral:rRNA from 1 species